UACGUAGGGUGCAAGCGUUAUCCGGAAUUAUUGGGCGUAAAGAGCUCGUAGGCGGUUUGUCGCGUCUGCUGUGAAAACUGGAGGCUCAACCUCCAGCCUGCAGUGGGUACGGGCAAACUAGAGUGCGGUAGGGGAGAUUGGAAUUCCUGGUGUAGCGGUGGAAUGCGCAGAUAUCAGGAGGAACACCAAUGGCGAAGGCAGCUCGCUGGGACGGUACUGACGCUGAGGCGCGAAAGCGUGGGGAGCAAACAGG
rnacentral:rRNA from 1 species